rnacentral:misc_RNA from 1 species
GUAGGUGAACCUGCGGAAGGAUCAUUAUCACGUUUAAUCCACGUAAUAAACCCUUUCUGAACUUUAUUUGCCGUUUGCACGUUGAACCGGUUUGUAGGAUGUUGGAAGUUAGUGAAUAGCGAGUGUUUGUCCUACUUUUUUCUUGAGGCCCAUAGCGCUGAGAUUUGAAAUCAGUUCGUAGGGAAUCGGGAAAACAGUAGUAAACGGGGACAUAACCUUUGAUUGUAUGUUUGAGUAAACCCCUGACGGUAAACACUUUCGGUCCGACAUCAACUACAAGCUGCUGAGCAUGCAAAUCGUGGCGCGUCAUAACUACAAUGCAUAAACUAUUUUAACCCUUUUGAUAAAUUGAACUAAUCGUUCUCUACCCCGCUUCUAAACGUGGGAUUGAACAAAAUAUUAAAUUAUAGAACAACUCUUAGCAACGGAUGUCUUGGUUCUC